UCGACGGUAGCACAGAGAGCUUGCUCUCGGGUGACGAGUGGCGGACGGGUGAGUAAUGUCUGGGAAACUGCCUGAUGGAGGGGGAUAACUACUGGAAACGGUAGCUAAUACCGCAUAACGUCGCAAGACCAAAGAGGGGGACCUUCGGGCCUCUUGCCAUCAGAUGUGCCCAGAUGGGAUUAGCUAGUAGGUGGGGUAACGGCUCACCUAGGCGACGAUCCCUAGCUGGUCUGAGAGGAUGACCAGCCACACUGGAACUGAGACACGGUCCAGACUCCUACGGGAGGCAGCAGUGGGGAAUAUUGCACAAUGGGCGCAAGCCUGAUGCAGCCAUGCCGCGUGUAUGAAGAAGGCCUUCGGGUUGUAAAGUACUUUCAGCGGGGAGGAAGGUGUUGAGCUUAAUAACCUCAUCUAUUGACGUUACCCGCAGAAGAAGCACCGGCUAACUCCGUGCCAGCAGCCGCGGUAAUACGGAGGGUGCAAGCGUUAAUCGGAAUUACUGGGCGUAAAGCGCACGCAGGCGGUCUGUCAAGUCGGAUGUGAAAUCCCCGGGCUCAACCUGGGAACUGCAUUCGAAACUGGCAGGCUAGAGUCUUGUAGAGGGGGGGUAGAAUUCCAGGUGUAGCGGUGAAAUGCGUAGAGAUCUGGAGGAAUACCGGUGGCGAAGGCGGCCCCCUGGACAAAGACUGACGCUCAGGUGCGAAAGCGUGGGGGAGCAAACAGGAUUAGAUACCCUGGUAGUCCACGCCGUAAACGAUGUCGACUUGGAGGUUGUGCCCUUGAGGCGUGGCUUCCGGAGCUAACGCGUUAAGUCGACCGCCUGGGGAGUACGGCCGCAAGGUUAAAACUCAAAUGAAUUGACGGGGGCCCGCACAAGCGGUGGAGCAUGUGGUUUAAUUCGAUGCAACGCGAAGAACCUUACCUACUCUUGACAUCCAGAGAACUUAGCAGAGAUGCUUUGGUGCCUUCGGGAACUCUGAGACAGGUGCUGCAUGGCUGUCGUCAGCUCGUGUUGUGAAAUGUUGGGUUAAGUCCCGCAACGAGCGCAACCCUUAUCCUUUGUUGCCAGCGGUCCGGCCGGGAACUCAAAGGAGACUGCCAGUGAUAAACUGGAGGAAGGUGGGGAUGACGUCAAGUCAUCAUGGCCCUUACGAGUAGGGCUACACACGUGCUACAAUGGCGCAUACAAAGAGAAGCGACCUCGCGAGAGCAAGCGGACCUCAUAAAGUGCGUCGUAGUCCGGAUUGGAGUCUGCAACUCGACUCCAUGAAGUCGGAAUCGCUAGUAAUCGUGGAUCAGAAUGCCACGGUGAAUACGUUCCCGGGCCUUGUACACACCGCCCGUCACACCAUGGGAGUGGGUUGCAAAAGAAGUAGGUAGCUUAACCUUCGGGAGGGCGCUUACCACUUUGUGAUUCAUGAC
rnacentral:rRNA from 1 species